CCCCCCCCCCACGUCGUCCGUCACCGGACCACCUAUUGCCACGCCUCACGAACCACCCAGACCCCCAUGAACCAUCAAACAGACUCAUCUCCUCCGAUCAUCGCCAUCUUUCACGUCAACACCACAGGCUCCGUCGCCGGACCACCCCACUGCCCGUCCAUGAACGACCAGCGUCGCCCAUGGCCAACUCACCCUAACGACUAGCAGCCAGUCCACCACCAGUCGAACCUCCAAAGCCACUGCUGCUUCGUCUUCCUCACGUCCAGCCCAAGUAGUUCGUCAUCAACAACCAUAGCAGCCCGCUCCAAGCAAACACUAACCUACUAUUCCGUCGUCACUCCCCUCACCGUCAACGAGCAUCACCUCCAGUUCCACCACUGUCCGCCAUAACCAUCUCCUUUCUUCACGUCCAACGACGAACACCCAAACCUCCGUGCUACUGUUCAUCGUGUUCCUUCUUUUUGUGACUGAACAAGAACAAAACCUAAAGCCCAUCAUCUGCUUCUGUUCGAACAGCCCCUCGACCUCAACCAAACCACCAUCUGAACAGUCCGUCACCACACAGUCAGCUUGUUCAUCGCCUGAAAUCAACCGGGAAACACACAAAUUUUCCGGGCAGAUUCAAGUAUUUUUUGGUUUCAAAUAUUCCGGGCAGACUUGUUUUUGUUCGAGUUCGUCGUUGUUCCGAUCCGGUUAGUUAGUUUAAGUUUAAUUUUUGCCCGUAUUUUGUUUGAUAUUCUCGGAUCUGAAAUCAGUAUGUGUUUGAUUCUUUUCUUGUUCUUUGUUUAUCAUUUCUUGAGUAUUUCUUCAGGUUGUUUUAUGCAUUUGUUCUUGUUUAGUUUUAAUAUAUAGGUAUAUUGGUUUAAUCACUUGAAUCCUUCAUCUUGAUUAUAAUAUUGUUGGAUUUAGUUUGAGGUUCAAUUGAUUAUUGAGUUUAGUAAUUUGAAUAUGCUUGUUUGUUAUUGUUGUUUAAUCUGAAAGUAUGUUUGUUAAAAAUGUUGUUCAGUCAAAAUAAUUGCAGUUUGUUCUUUGUUGAUCAUUAUGUAGUUUGAAUUUGUUGAUUGAAUUUGAUUAGGAAUUGAUUAUAAUUGUUGUAUAUUGGUUAAUUGAUUAGGUGAAUUGGUUAUAGCUGAUAGGGGUAGAAUAGUAAUAUUCAGUAAUUUCGGGGGUAUUUGGGAAUUGAUUAAAUGUGGACACAUAACUUUUAAUUAAAAUAAGAGGGUACAAUGGUUAGUGGGGGACAAGAUAUAAUAAUGUAAAGUAAAAAGGGUUAAUGAUAAAAGGUAUUCUUUGACCACUGAAAAAGGGUGGGACUAUGGGGUCCAUGCUGACUGAUUUUACUUAAUUUGAAAUCAGAAAUAGUAUAGGUAAUAAUAAAAGUUAAAAGAUACACAUAGUUAGGAGAAUAUUGGCUGGAAAGAAAAAAGAGGUAAAAUGGUUAAUAAUAAUAGUUUAAAAGUAAAAGGAAAGAGGUAAAAAGAAAUAAAAAAGAGUCUUGAUUUGGGUAUAAAUAGGACUCAUUUGACACUUAAGGGGGAACUUUGAGAGAGAAAUUUCAGAACUUAAGGGGAGAUAAAAAAAACUUUUGAAUCUUAAGAAUUAGAUAGUGUUUGAAAGUUAGAAACUAAAGAAAAAUCUGUUUCUUUUCUUGAGUGUUAAAAAUUAGAAGUGACUAUUUUUUGCAAUUGGUUAUUUCUCUGUUGGUCUGCGCUUGUUUUCUAAGACUAUUAAUAUUCAAGUAGUGUUGAUUGUAGUUUUUCUGUUGGUUUUUAAUCUGUUGCUGGUCUAUUCUAUUGUGCUUUGAACAUUGUUUCAAUUGAGUGUUGUGGUUUCCUGUCGAAAGUUCAUUGGGAUUUCCAUUACGGGUUGUUGUUGCUUCGAUGGUUGUUUGUUGUUGCUGCGUUGUUUCUACUGUUUCUAAUCCUAUUCUUCAUUUUCCUUGUAUUCAAAUACUAGGUACACUACUCUGAAUCAUUUUUGGCAUAGGCAUUGAAGCUGAACUGAAAUGGCCAGAAGAUUUAUGCUUCCAAAUUAUAGAAUAUUCGUAUUUUUUUAGUUAGAUAUUCAUUAUGUGUUUCAUGUUAUAUGAAUGGUAGAAGUAUGUAUAAUGCGAAAAUUGCAGAACUAUUGGAUGAGUGUCGUAAGAACACCAUAAGUAUUAGCUUCAGCUUUGUUAAUUUUUAUAUUUAAAUAAUGUAGUUUGAAAUCGCAUUCAAAUCAAAUAGGU
rnacentral:lncRNA from 1 species